AGUGAACGCUGGCGGCAUGCUUUACACAUGCAAGUCGAACGGCAGCGCGGGGCAACCUGGCGGCGAGUGGCGAACGGGUGAGUAAUACAUCGGAACGUACCCAGAAGUGGGGGAGAACGUAGGGAAAGUUACGCUAAUACCGCAUACGUUCUACGGAAGAAAGUGGGGGACCUUCGGGCCUCAUGCUUUUGGAGCGGUCGAUGUCUGAUUAGCUAGUUGGUAGGGUAAAGGCAUACCAAGGCGACGAUCAGUAGCUGGUCUGAGAGGACGACCAGCCACACUGGGACUGAGACACGGCCCAGACACCUACGGGAGGCAGCAGUGGGGAAUUUUGGACAAUGGGCGCAAGCCUGAUCCAGCAAUGCCGCGUGAGUGAAGAAGGCCUUCGGGUUGUAAAGCUCUUUUGUCAGGGAAGAAACGGUCGGGGUUAAUACCUCUGGCUAAUGACGGUACCUGAAGAAUAAGCACCGGCUAACUACGUGCCAGCAGCCGCGGUAAGAC
rnacentral:rRNA from 1 species